AUCACGGCUCCGCUCGAUUAAAAGGGUGUUAAUUGAUCCUUCGAUCGACGCUUGGAUGGCGAACGUUGCCCGAACGAAUUCCUCAUAUUGCCGGGCGCUUACAAGCGACUUGUCCUGUAUUCACCUGCAUUCUGUGGAGAGACAUUCUCGUGGACGGAAUAAACUGCCGAACGCAUCCUAGGGAAAAAUAUGCUGUCCCGAAAACGCGAUUUCAUCCGAUCAAAUUUGGCCGAAAUAUCUAUCGCAACGUCACUUACGACUUAAAGACACGCUUCCAUAUAUGCUGAGAACAUAGAUAGAAGAUCUUCGAUAUAGAUAUAUUCUCUUUCGGGAGAAUAUUUCGGGGAUCAUCCGACGUCCGGCUGGAACAGUGGCCUUCCAGAGAAACGGCCACUGACCCGAUUGCGCGUGCUGCAGAAGGAAUCGAUUCCGCGACCGUGGCGGUGGUAUCCUGGACGUAUAUCGAUCGAUCUCGCUUGGUUCUUGGGAUCGCGCGGAGCGUGGAAAUGGCUUUUAUGGUGCCGACAACCCGGCGUAAUGCUGCCGUGGCUGCCGUCGUUUCGAGGGUCCACAGUUCCGACGAGAGUGCACGUCGCUCAAUCGAAAUGCAAGUAGAAGCGAUUCACCCUAGUCGCGCCGAAUGAUCAUCCAUAAUUAUCAUAGACAGCGAUUUUGCCGAGAUCAUCGAAAACCAUCAACUUCUAACUAAUUUACAACAAAACUGUCCUUUAUAUUAUUUCCUACAAAUUAUGAAAUUAAAUGUUUAUCCGU